ensembl:processed_transcript Gm14005 predicted gene 14005
CAAGCUGCGCAUAUCUUGGGAUCUUCACAGCACAGUGGCUGGGAAGGCAGGCGGACCCGUCUAUCAGCUUCUCCCUGAAGACUACCAAAGCAAACCAGAGGACCAGAGAACAGCAGCUGCUCUGGACAAAGAGGGGAGGACACCCACACCCACAUACCAAGUUCUGGUUGACUUCUACAGCAGAAGGAGCAGGAGACACCAGAAGUCUCCUCAGAAGAACAUUGACCAGCACGCCUGCAUCCUUUCUGUUCUGACACACUUGUUACCUGGAUGACUUCUUUCUCAUCACCCACGUGCCAAGAGUGCCAUGUCUCAUCUGGACCAGAGACUCUGAGGAUCACACCAACAGAGACACAAAUGACACUUAAAGAAAGCCACAUCAGCUUUUACAACUUACCCCCCAAUACCGAAUG